rnacentral:snoRNA from 1 species
AGGCCAUGUUGUGGGCAAUGCCUAAGCAAGUUUUUGUAUCUAUCCUAAGCUUCAUAUUGUGAAUCACCAUUGAACUAUAUGAAGGAGGUGAUAUCAUUCCUCAUUUU